ACAGGGAUUCCCUUAGUAGCGGCGAGCGAAAAGGGACGAGCCCAGCGCCGAAUCCCCCACCUCUCUGGUGGCGGGAAAUGUGGCGUUUAGGAGUGAACGUUCCGGUUCUCGACCUCGAAUCAAGUCCCCCUGACCGGGGCUGUUACCCAGAGCGGGUGCGAGGCCCAUAGUAUCUGGGUCGGGUCCGGAUGCGAUCUCCUUGGAGUCGGGUUGCUUGGAAGUGCAGCCCUAAUCGGGUGGUAAACUCCACCUAAGGCUAAACACUGUCGUGAGACCGAUAGCAAACAAGUACCGUGAGGGAAAGUUGCAAAGAACUUUGAAGAGAGAGUUCAAGAGUACGUGAAACUGCUCAGAGGCAAACAGGUGGGCCCUCGAAGUCCUGUGGCGAGAGGAUUCAGUCUGGUUCCGUUAGUGGUGCGGACCGGAAGGGCGAAAGGAAGGGAAUCCCCCGUUAGGGGGACCGUCUGGUCGCACGCGACCUGCUGCGUUUUGGGGCAGACGCAAUUGUCUCUCGUCCGAAGGAGCUGCAGCCGGCUGGGUAGCGCAAGCGCGACGGCCUAAGGUCGGGAGUUGCAGGUGGCCGGUGGUGCGCCCGUUGGUGCGCUGCCGGUGCUAGCGCUCCCGGCACUAUGUGGCCGUCACCCGGCCGAGGUGUCUCUAGGCCCGUACGGGCCUUGCCGCCUCCUCCCAGGCACUUGACUGCCGUAGGAGCGGGACAGUCGCCGCAGGCGAGGUCUGGAUAUAUCUGCCGUCCGCACCCCCCCCGUGGGUGGGGCGGUGGUCCGACUCUGCCGGUGGUGGGAUCUUGUACCCGUCGGGGGCUGGUGGCUAGCAGCGAGUAGGU
rnacentral:rRNA from 1 species